CCAAACCCUAUACACACCCUAAACUUUCUAGCCGUCACACCUUACACCCCACCCCUUCUCUCCAUCUUCUCCACACACCCCAAAUCCUAAACCACCAAACUCAAAACCCCUCCAUGGCUGCUCUUCCCGUCUUCUUCCUCAUCACCACCAUCUCCCUCGCCACGAACAACCACGAGUAGCCCUUCCCCGUCUUCCCUCACCGUAGACAACCAACAUCACCACUACCAUCUUCCACCAACGACGCAACAGUCGUUAUUGCCCUCAUCGUCGUCACAGCCACGAACGACCUCUAGCUGCCCAACCUCACGACCAGCUCGUCGUCACAUCGAGCCCAGCGACACCGUCCAGUUCCAGCUCCAACGAUGAACCCUACUGACCAAAUGAGCCCCUUCUUCAUCACCUCCUCCUCACAGCCUGUCUCCACCUGAAAUAGCCAGCCCCUCUCCAGUUCACGACCAGACCACCCUCGAGCAGCAACCAGUCAGCCGCUCAACCAAACGACCCCUCAACCACUGCGCAAACAACCCCCUCUUGUCCAAAUAACCACCUGAAAAACCAGCAGCAGUCCGGCAAACUUCAGGUCGUCUUCAUCGUCCAGUAUAUGGUCGUCUUCAUCAUCUCGCUUCAUCACCUGAAAUCAACCGGAAAAUAUACAAAUAUCCGGGCAGGUUCGAGUUGUUUUUGGUGUUAAAGUUUUCCUGGCAGAUUUGUUUCCAUCCGAAUUCGUCGUUGUUUUGAUCCGGUUAGUUGGUUUAAGUUUUAUUUCUAUCCAUAUUUUAUUUGAUAUUCUCGGAUCUAAAAUCAGUAUAUUAUUUUCUUGUUCAUUUCUUGAUUAUUUCUUCAGUUGGUUUGAUUCAUUUGUUCUAGUUUAGUUUUGAUAUAGAAAUAUGUCAGCUUAAUCACUUGAAUCAUUUAUCUUGAUUGUGAUGUUGUUAGAUUUAAUUUGAAGUUCAAUGUUUAAUUCAUUUGUUCUGGCUUAGUUUUAAUAUAGAUAUGUUUUAGUUUAAUCACUUGAGUCUUUUAUCUUGAUUGAAAUAUUGUGAGAUUUAAUUUGAAGUUCAAUUGAUAAUGAGUUUAGUGAUUUGAAUAUGUUUUAUUAUUGUGUUAAGUCUAAAUUUGGAUUUGAGUUAGAGAUUUGAAUUUGUUUGUUUGAUCUGUUAAGUUUAAUUUGAAUCUGAGUUUAGCGAUUGGAGUCUACUUGUUAGUUAUGUUCAAUUUGUUGUUGUUGUUGAAUCUGAAAGUAUGUUUGUCAAGAAUGCUGUUCAAAAUAUAUUCAGUUGGUUCUUGGUUCAUCAUUUAGUUUGAAUUUGUUGAUUAAAUUUGAUUAAGAGUUGGUUAUAGCUGCUAUAUUUUGGUUAAUCGAUUUAGGUGAAUUGGUUAUAGCUGAUAGGGUUAGAAUAGUAAUUUUUAGUAAUUUCAGGGGUAUUUUGGAAUUUAAAAUUUAGACAAUUAUUUAAUUUGAGUGCUAUGUCCACUAGUUACUAAAAUAUUAUUAAAAUAAUAUAGUGGUGGACAAGACAUAAUUAUGUAAAGUAAAAGGGGGUUAAUAAUGUGGUCUUCUUUGACCACUGAAAAUAGAGGGACUGUGGGGUCCGUGUUGACUUCUUUUACUUAAUUAAAAUCAGAAAUAGUAAAGGUAAUAAUAAAAUUUUAAAAAUUCACAUAGUUAUAAGAAUAUAGGCCUGAAAUUAAAAGAGGUAAAAUGGUUAGUAGUAAUAGUUUAAAAGUAAAAAUUAAUAGUCAAAAGAAUAAAGGAAAGAGUCUUGCUUUGGGUAUAUAAUAUGACUCAUUUAACACUUAAAAGAGGACGGAAUUUUGAGAGAGAAAUUUCAGAAUUGGAGGGAAGAUAAAAAGGCUUUUGAAUCUUAAAAUUUUUGAGUGUUUGAAAGUUAGAAAUUAAAGAAAAAAUCGGUUCUUCUUCACUGUUAACAAUCAACAUCAACUGCUAUUAUUCAUUGAAGCUUUAAGCUUCUUUUUCCUGAGUGUUAAUAAUUAGAAGUGACUAUUUUUGGCAACUGGUUAUUUCUCUGUUGGUCUGUGCUUGUUUUCUAAUACUACUGGCAUUCAAGUAGCAUUGCUUGGGUUUACUGUUGGUUUUCGGUUGGUUUGGAAAUUCCUGGUUUUUCUGCUUGGUUGUAAUCUCCUGGAUUUUUUCUGCUAUUUCCGCUGUUACUGGGUUACUCCCGUGUUGUUGAACUACUGUUGCUGUGUGCGUACUCCGCCAUUGCUUCCUACUGAUCUUCAUCUUCUUUGUAUUCCAAUACUAGGUACACCACUUUGAAUCACAUUGAUGUACGCCUUGAAGAUGAAAUGAAAUGGCAGAAAUUUAUGUACUUAGUUAUAGUAUAUUUAUAGUUUAGUUAAACAUUAAUUAUAUACUUUCCUGCUAGGUAGAAAGUUAUGUAUUUAGUUAUAAUAUAUUUGUAUUUUAGUUAAACAUUAGUUAUAUAUUUUCCGGCUAUAC
rnacentral:lncRNA from 1 species